rnacentral:rRNA from 1 species
GAGUUUGAUCAUGGCUCAGAUUGAACGCUGGCGGCAGGCCUAACACAUGCAAGUCGAACGGUAACAGGAAGCAGCUUGCUGUUUCGCUGACGAGUGGCGGACGGGUGAGUAAUGUCUGGGAAACUGCCUGAUGAGGGGGAUAACUACUGGAAACGGUAGCUAAUACCGCAUAACGUCGCAAGACCAAAGAGGGGGACCUUCGGGCCUCUUGCCAUCGGAUGUGCCCAGAUGGGAUUAGCUUGUUGGUGGGGUAACGGCUCACCAAGGCGACGAUCCCUAGCUGGUCUGAGAGGAUGACCAGCCACACUGGAACUGAGACACGGUCCAGACUCCUACGGGAGGCAGCAGUGGGGAAUAUUGCACAAUGGGCGCAAGCCUGAUGCAGCCAUGCCGCGUGUAUGAAGAAGGCCUUCGGGUUGUAAAGUACUUUCAGCGGGGAGGAAGGGAGUAAAGUUAAUACCUUUGCUCAUUGACGUUACCCGCAGAAGAAGCACCGGCUAACUCCGUGCCAGCAGCCGCGGUAAUACGGAGGGUGCAAGCGUUAAUCGGAAUUACUGGGCGUAAAGCGCACGCAGGCGGUUUGUUAAGUCAGAUGUGAAAUCCCCGGGCUCAACCUGGGAACUGCAUCUGAUACUGGCAAGCUUGAGUCUCGUAGAGGGGGGUGAAUUCCAGGUGUAGCGGUGAAAUGCGUAGAGAUCUGGAGGAAUACCGGUGGCGAAGGCGGCCCCCUGGACGAAGACUGACGCUCAGGUGCGAAAGCGUGGGGAGCAAACAGGAUUAGAUACCCUGGUAGUCCACGCCGUAAACGAUGUCGACUUGGAGGUUGUGCCCUUGAGGCGUGGCUUCCGGAGCUAACGCGUUAAGUCGACCGCCUGGGGAGUACGGCCGCAAGGUUAAAACUCAAAUGAAUUGACGGGGGCCCGCACAAGCGGUGGAGCAUGUGGUUUAAUUCGAUGCAACGCGAAGAACCUUACCUGGUCUUGACAUCCACGGAAGUUUUCAGAGAUGAGAAUGUGCCUUCGGGAACCGUGAGACAGGUGCUGCAUGGCUGUCGUCAGCUCGUGUUGUGAAAUGUUGGGUUAAGUCCCGCAACGAGCGCAACCCUUAUCCUUUGUUGCCAGCGGUCCGGCCGGGAACUCAAAGGAGACUGCCAGUGAUAAACUGGAGGAAGGUGGGGAUGACGUCAAGUCAUCAUGGCCCUUAUGACCAGGGCUACACACGUGCUACAAUGGCGCAUACAAAGAGAAGCGACCUCGCGAGAGCAAGCGGACCUCAUAAAGUGCGUCGUAGUCCGGAUUGGAGUCUGCAACUCGACUCCAUGAAGUCGGAAUCGCUAGUAAUCGUGGAUCAGAAUGCCACGGUGAAUACGUUCCCGGGCCUUGUACACACCGCCCGUCACACCAUGGGAGUGGGUUGCAAAAGAAGUAGGUAGCUUAACCUUCGGGAGGGCGCUUACCACUUUGUGAUUCAUGACUGGGGUGAAGUCGUAACAAGGUAACCGUAGGGGAACCUGCGGUUGGAUCACC